GGCAGAGUGGGCUGCCUGGGGAUUGGGAGGGGCAGGGCUUGGGGGGCAGGCCUCUGGCAGAGAAGGAUGUCCGUUCCAGGAGCACACGGCCCUGCCCCAUCCUGGGCCUUACCUCCCUUGCCAGGGCUCGGGCGCUCUGGCUCCUGCCUUGAUGAAGCCCGUGUCCUGCCUUGAUAAAGCCUGUGCCACCUGCAAGUGCCCACCCUGCCCCUGCCCCAACCCCCACUGAAGAGCCGUGAGCUCAGGCUGAGCCCAGCCACCUCCCAAGGACUUUCCAGUGAGGAAAUGGCAACACGUGGAGGUGAAGACCCCGUUCUCAGCUCCGUCAUUUGCGGGACUUUGGGUGGCUCCUGCCACUGACCUCACCGACAUGCUGGCCUGUGGCAGGCCUAGGACCUCAGUGGGGAGGAGGAGCUGCCGCAAGGCCCUGUCCCAGCAGGAGGGAGGCUUCCUGACUGACACAGGCCAGCCCCAUCUUGGUCCUGUCACCCUGGCCCCAACUAUUAAAGUGCCAUUUCCUGUC